CCAGCUGGAAUAAUUAGCUGGCUUCUGUCAGCAUAUUCUGCCAAGCCCUUGGGAUCCUAAGCAGAAUACACCUCAAGAUCAUCACUUUCUUAAAUCAAGAUGAAAGAAAGAUUGCUGAUUAUUUAGAAAACAGAAGAGACUAUGCCUUUUUCAGGGAAGUUACUGUUUGUCAGAGUCAGACUGGAUCAGAAUGAAAAACACUGGUGGAAGAAGAAACUCUGGCAAUUCCUGUUUAGCAAUGUAAUUUAUAAAUAUCUGGGAAUAUGUACCUAGGGAUAUGUAAUCCCCAGGAACAGCUGCUGCUUUAGUUUGUGUAUCUCUAGAGAGAUGCAUUUUCAAUGGUGAGACAAAUCUUGGGGACCACUCUGAAAAAUCCAUGGCUGGCACUUCCCCAUAGCAUUCUACCUGAUGGGGAUCUUAAGGACAAGAAAUAGUGCAGCUCAGCAUUCCACACAAUACAAGCUCAUCAUUAUGACCAAAGAAAGGAUGGACAUAGAAUGUGCUAAAGGAAGUAAAUAUGGAAUUUCUUCAUUUGUCUCCAAAGCAGCUCCUGCACUGCUAUGAACAGAGCCUGCCAAGCACAGCAUUCUGUGACAUCACUGAAGGGUUCAGCUGGUGCACAGUUCUUAACAGGAAGAGACACUGGCAUUUCAAAGCAGUAUACUGAACACCAGUUAACUAACAGAGCUGCUGUCGUCUCUGAAGAAAAAUUAAUAAUUAAGGAGAAGAGAGAAUAUCCAUGAAUGCUGUUAUAAAAAUAAUUCCCUAGUUCCAAGAAACCAGCUCCUCCUGGGGAGGAGGGUGCCUGGGGUAAGAGGCUCAGAGACCAUCCUGACAUCACUGCAACUAUGAUUUCACCAGGAUAAUGUACUGCAACAUCAUUGUCAUAUGAAAUCUCUACUCUUGGAAAGAGAAGGCUUGGCAUCUGGAAAGGCAGCAGGAAGAGAAACCAAACAUACUGAAUGAUGGAAACCUGUCUUUAAGGAUAUACUCCAUCAGUGAUCAGUACACAGCUGUGAGAGAUCUGUGCAGCAGCCCAUCAGCUGGAUGUUGAGUGUAACAGGCUCCAGCAGCACCCCAACACCUUUGGCAGGAAUUGGCUUCAGUGGCAAAUUGCUGGUCUCUGGCAGGAGUUGCUGCUUUGACCUGACAGGGUGGUUAGACUGGUUGCUCCUCUCUGCGACAGCACGUCUUGUGUUCUACCAGGAAAACCUCAUUCUUCUUCAGAGUGGUGUAGAUUCUGGUCCAAUGGGAGCUGAACUGACAGGAUCCUGGGCUGCCAGGCAUUGCCAUCGGGAGUGAAGAGAACUAGAUGUAUCUCUCCUGGAGAUGAUCUGUAAUGCAUCAGAGAAGAAUACACUGGGGGAGGUGUGGAAGAGGUACAAGACUUCUGCUGUUCCAGACUUUUCCUUAAGAAGGGCAACUGAGCAGCCUUAAUAAUAUAGCUGAUAAUUAUCCUCCUGGUGAAUAAAGUUAUCUCUAGGGUCCUGUAUAAAUCACAUGGAAAACAUGAUGGAUUUCAGUGGCUGGCCAUCACAAAAAUGGGAAGAGGCACAGAUUGUGACAGCUUAAUGGAGAAGAGUGAGAUGUGUGGUGCCUCAGUGGGAGGAAGCCUCUAGGCCACUAGAGGAAAGCAGGACAGCAAUCCUGCCAUGGAUCCUGAGCUGGGUACAUCAUGGCUGUUACAUAAGGCUGCAGGUUUCCUAAGAAAUCCAAGCUGUCAUUAUAAGCAGAGAACAAGACUUCAGCACAGAUAUGAGAAAUCCCUGCAGCAGUACUGGAGUGGUGAGAAAGAGAGGGUGCAGUACAGUGUGGACAAAGGUCUGAGAUACACUCUCCAGAAACACAUGAAGGACAGGUGUUGUCACCUGAAGCCACUCACAAGACUUUGAUCUAGGAUGACGCUUCAUUCCUACAAACUUGUGACAAGUGAUGGCAGUGACCCUGAGUCGAGCUCAAGGCGUGUUCAGGGGCUGCCUCCUCUGGAGUGUCCUGCAUUACCUCCUCAGUGGCCCGAGUGCAGGGCAUGCCUUCAAGCCAGCAGUAAAGCACACUCCAAGAUAAGGAAGGGGGAAUACUGUGUUCUCUCUCCAAUGUCACAUUCCCCUGGCAGCACAAACUAGGUUCUUGCUUAUUUCAUUGAUUAAAUGGGGGACUCCCACAUCUGCAGUAAC